GACGAACGCUGGCGGCGUGCCUAAUACAUGCAAGUUGAGCGCUGAAGGUUGGUACUUGUACCAACUGGAUGAGCAGCGAACGGGUGAGUAACGCGUGGGGAAUCUGCCUUUGAGCGGGGGACAACAUUUGGAAACGAAUGCUAAUACCGCAUAAAAACUUUAAACACAAGUUUUAAGUUUGAAAGAUGCAAUUGCAUCACUCAAAGAUGAUCCCGCGUUGUAUUAGCUAGUUGGUGAGGUAAAGGCUCACCAAGGCGAUGAUACAUAGCCGACCUGAGAGGGUGAUCGGGCACAUUGGGACUGAGACACGGCCCAAACUUCUACGGGAGGCAGCAGUAGGGAAUCUUCGGCAAUGGACGAAAGUCUGACCGAGCAACGCCGCGUGAGUGAAGAAGGUUUUCGGAUCGUAAAACUCUGUUGGUAGAGAAGAACGUUGGUGAGAGUGGAAAGCUCAUCAAGUGACGGUAACUACCCAGAAAGGGACGGCUAACUACGUG
rnacentral:rRNA from 1 species